UGGGGAAUAUUGCACAAUGGGCGCAAGCCUGAUGCAGCCAUGCCGCGUGUAUGAAGAAGGCCUUCGGGUUGUAAAGUACUUUCAGCGGGGAGGAAGGGAGUAAAGUUAAUACCUUUGCUCAUUGACGUUACCCGCAGAAGAAGCACCGGCUAACUCCAUGCCAGCAGCCGCGGUAAUACGGAGGGUGCAAGCGUUAAUCGGAAUUACUGGGCGUAAAGCGCACGCAGGCGGUUUGUUAAGUCAGAUGUGAAAUCCCCGGGCUCAACCUGGGAACUGCAUCUGAUACUGGCAAGCUUGAGUCUCGUAGAGGGGGGUAGAAUUCCAGGUGUAGCGGUGAAAUGCGUAGAGAUCUGGAGGAAUACCGGUGGCGAAGGCGGCCCCCUGGACGAAGACUGACGCUCAGGUGCGAAAGCGUGGGGAGCAAACA
rnacentral:rRNA from 1 species